rnacentral:lncRNA from 1 species
AUAUAAGCAUUUACUUUUCCAAUUAAGACCCCUUGGUAAUAUUGUCUCUCAUUUACCGGCUGUUAAUUCUUAAGAUAAGAAUUAUUAAUAGCCCCAAAAAACAGUCUCACACUUUCAGGAGAUAAAAAAUACAGAGAUAAGGCGUGUGAGCGGUUUCAAGUGAAUUGGAGGAAGUAAUGACAGAGAGCAUUCCACUGCUGCAACCAUAGAAAUCAGGAUAGUGUGUGUCUAUGCCUAAGUGUGAACGUGUGACUUAUCUUCAGUAAUUGUGCAUCCACUCAGAAUUCUUGUGAGCAUUGUCAUGCGUCUCUGUACCAUAACUAGACUCAUAUUUCCUUACACUGCUUUCGAUUGUGUUUUUAUGCUAUUUGUAUGUCCAUAAUAAUUGGAGUUGGUGUGUUUUUUAUAGUGAUAAGUACUCCAAGACAGCUCAUUUUGAUUUUGAGAAGAGAAAUAACCUAGAAGUCAGCGAAACAACGAGGUGGAGCUGUGAAAGUAUCGUUUCACAACCCAACAGCCCUAGAACGAGGAUAAAACUACCGUCUCAAGAAAGGAUACCUCUCCAAGUGAAGAAUUUUGUCUGGAACAGUUGGAAACCCGAAUUGCUAGUCUCAGUGAGUUAGGACCGAAUGCAGCUUCCUCCCAAAACCACAUUACACAACUUACAAUGGGUUGAACCAUUACACUCGAGAUGGUUCAAACAAUCUAUCAACUUUUAAAAUGCAGCUUGACAAACAAUCAACCAUUCCCAACAGCACUGUAAACUCAUUUUCACCCUCAUUUCACAAAAAACUCCAGAAUGGAAACAUUAAAAAGUCAAACAUUGACAUCAUGUCGCGCAGCUACACAGAACAGUCUGUGAGAAACGACUUAAAUGGAGUUAACCCUUUGAGCCGGUCCUUUUCAAAUGAACGACUCACCUCUGUGCCUCAUAAUUUAACCAAUGGUGAUGUUAACCGAAACGACUUGGUCAGUGCACUGCAGGCAGAUGUGAAGAAGCUUAAAGACAAGACGAUUUACCAGAAUGUUCCGAAUCAAAAACGGUGUGUUCAAGAUGGUUUUGAGGAAGAAAAGCGGAAGAUAGAUAAUCUGGUCUACGAAUUAAACAAGCUUGUAAACCAGCCUUCGAAAACUGCCAGUUUCUCGCCAAGCAAGCCAGAGAUGAGCUUACCAAAGGAGAAGAGUAAAUUCAUACUGCCGCUAGAUGAAAUUGACUCUGCAAUCACAGCCCAGCGAAGGUCUUUGGACUUUGAUAAGGAUACAUUGAGGAAUGAGCGGCAGUCAAUGCUGAAAGAUUUGGUGGGGUUCAAAUCAAAGGUCCUUGAAAUUCGCCAGCAAGAAGAUGAAAUUCUGCGAGAGAUGGAGAUGGAAUGUGCACUAUUGGAAGGAGAGUACAAAUCUGAAAAUGGAGUGAUCAAAGCGGAGGAAGAAAGCUUGAGGGUGCUGCAAGAAAAAUUGUUGAAUUGUGAGAAAGAAAUAGAAAAGUGCACUGCACAACAAGCAGAGAGUAAGCGAAAAUUGGAAGAAGAGCAGAAAUCUUUAAAUGAAUUGGAAGAGAAAGUGUUCAAUUGUGAUGUAGUAGAACAGGAUGAGUUAAUGCAGUCCUACAAGCUAAAACAAGAAAAUCUGGAAUAUGAAAAGAAGAAUUUUGAAGACUCUGAGUUCCUCUUGUUAGAGGAGGGAAGCUGAUCUCCUAUCCAAAAGGGAAGAAUACCAACGCGAGCUCAAUGACAGGACAACAAAGCUACAUACACAUAAGUUACGCGUUGCUCAGCUAGGACUGCAACAAAAGCAGGUUUUAAGCAAUGCGGCUGAUGAAUCUAAACAGUUGGAAUCCUUGCUCAUCGCCUAUUUGAACAAUAUCAAAGAGGUAAAGUGUUUUUCAACUCAAAUUAUAGACUCCUGUUUGUAUAAUCUCCUUGUAAUGUAAUGCAGGCAUGCUGAAACUUCGUGAUCACAUUUUACAGUACAUAGCCAGUCCACAUGCACCCCGCA